CAUAGGUUAAUGAGGCGAACCGGGGGAACUGAAACAUCUAAGUACCCCGAGGAAAAGAAAUCAACCGAGAUUCCCCCAGUAGCGGCGAGCGAACGGGGAGCAGCCCAGAGCCUGAAUCAGUGUGUGUGUUAGUGGAAGCGUCUGGAAAGGCGCGCGAUACAGGGUGACAGCCCCGUACACAAAAAUGCACAUGCUGUGAGCUCGAUGAGUAGGGCGGGACACGUGGUAUCCUGUCUGAAUAUGGGGGGACCAUCCUCCAAGGCUAAAUACUCCUGACUGACCGAUAGUGAACCAGUACCGUGAGGGAAAGGCGAAAAGAACCCCGGCGAGGGGAGUGAAAAAGAACCUGAAACCGUGUACGUACAAGCAGUGGGAGCACGCUUAGGCGUGUGACUGCGUACCUUUUGUAUAAUGGGUCAGCGACUUAUAUUCUGUAGCAAGGUUAACCGAAUAGGGGAGCCGAAGGGAAACCGAGUCUUAACUGGGCGUUAAGUUGCAGGGUAUAGACCCGAAACCCGGUGAUCUAGCCAUGGGCAGGUUGAAGGUUGGGUAACACUAACUGGAGGACCGAACCGACUAAUGUUGAAAAAUUAGCGGAUGACUUGUGGCUGGGGGUGAAAGGCCAAUCAAACCGGGAGAUAGCUGGUUCUCCCCGAAAGCUAUUUAGGUAGCGCCUCGUGAAUUCAUCUCCGGGGGUAGAGCACUGUUUCGGCAAGGGGGUCAUCCCGACUUACCAACCCGAUGCAAACUGCGAAUACCGGAGAAUGUUAUCACGGGAGACACACGGCGGGUGCUAACGUCCGUCGUGAAGAGGGAAACAACCCAGACCGCCAGCUAAGGUCCCAAAGUCAUGGUUAAGUGGGAAACGAUGUGGGAAGGCCCAGACAGCCAGGAUGUUGGCUUAGAAGCAGCCAUCAUUUAAAGAAAGCGUAAUAGCUCACUGGUCGAGUCGGCCUGCGCGGAAGAUGUAACGGGGCUAAACCAUGCACCGAAGCUGCGGCAGCGACGCUGAUGCGUUGUUGGGUAGGGGAGCGUUCUGUAAGCCUGCGAAGGUGUGCUGUGAGGCAUGCUGGAGGUAUCAGAAGUGCGAAUGCUGACAUAAGUAACGAUAAAGCGGGUGAAAAGCCCGCUCGCCGGAAGACCAAGGGUUCCUGUCCAACGUUAAUCGGGGCAGGGUGAGUCGACCCCUAAGGCGAGGCCGAAAGGCGUAGUCGAUGGGAAACAGGUUAAUAUUCCUGUACUUGGUGUUACUGCGAAGGGGGGACGGAGAAGGCUAUGUUGGCCGGGCGACGGUUGUCCCGGUUUAAGCGUGUAGGCUGGUUUUCCAGGCAAAUCCGGAAAAUCAAGGCUGAGGCGUGAUGACGAGGCACUACGGUGCUGAAGCAACAAAUGCCCUGCUUCCAGGAAAAGCCUCUAAGCAUCAGGUAACAUCAAAUCGUACCCCAAACCGACACAGGUGGUCAGGUAGAGAAUACCAAGGCGCUUGAGAGAACUCGGGUGAAGGAACUAGGCAAAAUGGUGCCGUAACUUCGGGAGAAGGCACGCUGAUAUGUAGGUGAAGUCCCUCGCGGAUGGAGCUGAAAUCAGUCGAAGAUACCAGCUGGCUGCAACUGUUUAUUAAAAACACAGCACUGUGCAAACACGAAAGUGGACGUAUACGGUGUGACGCCUGCCCGGUGCCGGAAGGUUAAUUGAUGGGGUUAGCCGCAAGGCGAAGCUCUUGAUCGAAGCCC
rnacentral:rRNA from 1 species